AUUGAACGCUGGCGGCAUGCCUUACACAUGCAAGUCGAACGGCAGCACGGGGCAACCUGGUGGCGAGUGGCGAACGGGUGAGUAAUGCAUCGGAACGUACCUUUCAGUGGGGGAUAACGUAGCGAAAGUUACGCUAAUACCGCAUAUUCUGUGAGCAGGAAAGCAGGGGAUCGCAAGACCUUGCGCUGAUUGAGCGGCCGAUGUCAGAUUAGCUAGUUGGUGAGGUAAAGGCUCACCAAGGCGACGAUCUGUAGCGGGUCUGAGAGGAUGAUCCGCCACACUGGAACGGAGACACGGUCCAGACUCCUACGGGAGGCAGCAGUGGGGAAUUUUGGACAGUGGGGGCGACCCUGCUCCAGCCAUGCCGCGUGAGUGAAGAAGGCCUUCGGGUUGUAGAGCUCUUUCGGCCGGGAAGAAAUCGCACGGGCUAAUACCCUGUGUGGAUGACGGUACCGGAAUAAGAAGCACCGGCUAACUACGUGCCAGCCGCCGCUGUAAAAC
rnacentral:rRNA from 1 species